rnacentral:rRNA from 1 species
UUUGCCUACGGGGGGCAGCAGUGGGGAAUAUUGGACAAUGGGGGAAACCCUGAUCCAGCGACGCCGCGUGAGUGAAGAAGUAUUUCGGUACGUAAAGCUCUAUCAGCAGGAAAGAAAAUGACGGUACCUGACUAAGAAGCCCCGACUAACUACGUGCCAGCAGCCGCGGUAAUACGUAGGGGGCAAGCGUUAUCCGGAUUUACUGGGUGUAAAGGGAGCGUAGACGGCGAAGAAAGUCUGAAGUGAAAGCCCGCGGCUUAACCGCGGAACUGCUUUGGAAACUUUUUUGCUGGAGUACCGGAGAG